rnacentral:antisense_RNA from 1 species
CUUCAGCGAGCCCAGCCAGAGCGGCUGGUCGGCGGGCCGGCCGCGCCCAUAGGUGGCGAGCAGGGCCUGUGCCUC